CUCUUAACGAGGAACAAUUGGAGGGCAAGUCUGGUGCCAGCAGCCGCGGUAAUUCCAGCUCCAAUAGCGUAUAUUAAAGUUGUUGCAGUUAAAAAGCUCGUAGUUGAACUUCGGGGUUCACCCAUUGGUCAGGCUUAAUUGUCUCUACUGGUGAGAUGAGUCUCUACCUUCUGAGGAACUUUCAUGCCAUUUAUUUAGUGUGAUUGGAAAUCAGGACUGUUACUUUGAAAAAU
rnacentral:rRNA from 1 species